UUGAACGCACAUUAUGCUUUAGGAUUUUCCUGAAAGCAUGCUUAUUGGAGUGUUAGCCAGCCUCNUAUCAACACUUUCAUGCGCAAGCGUGGAGGUUGUUGGAUNGUUCCGCGUAGCAUGAGUGCUCGUGGUAAAUUGUGUUAGCCUGUGGUUUGCAUCUGUAGCUACAUGACCUAUGUUCCAAGGGUAAAGCAAAAUGGACAUAAUAUGUGUUGUGCGGUUAAAGAAGCAGAUUGCGGGUAGGGUGUUGCGUUGCCGAAUCUAGAAGCUGAUCUCCAAUUAAGCCAGACUACCCACCGAAUUUAAGCAUAUAAUUAAGUGGAGGAAAAGAAACCAACUGGGAUUCCCUGAGUAAGGGCGACUGAAACGGGAUGUAGCUCAUGAUGAAAAUCGGUGUACUUGUUGCACUGAGUUGUGAUGUGGAGAAGUUUGUGUCCAAAAGCCAGGGGAAAUUCAUUGGAAUAUGUUAGCAUGGAUGGUGAGACCCCAAUAUUCUUGGCGAGCGAACAAACCUUCAAAGAGUCGAGUUGUAUGGGAUUGCAGCUCUAAACGGUGGUAAAUUCCAUCGAAAGCUAAAUAUGGGUAGGAGACCGAUAGCGCACAAGUACCGUGAGGGAAAGAUGCAAAGAACUUUGAAAAGAGAGUUAAAGAGUACCUGAAAUUGCUGAAACUGAAGCAAAGGAAAUCAACAAAAGUUGUGCCAUAUCUCUCAUCUUGCUUGCAGGGUGGGCACUGUGUUGCAGCGUCNUUAGUGGUAGUGAUGU
rnacentral:rRNA from 1 species